GCUUACGGCCAUACCAGCCUGGGUACGCCCGAUCUCGUCUGAUCUCGAAAGCUAAGCAGGGUCGGGCCUGGUUAGUAUUUGGAUGGGAGACCGCCUGGGAAUACCAGGUGCUGUAAGCA
rnacentral:rRNA from 1 species